CUUUUCAGUGAUGAUCAUCAUGAUUUUGCUGGGUGUACAGGAUAAGGACGUUGGUGAGUACCAGCUGUUUGCUCAUCUAUAUGAACACUAUUUAAUAUUUACAACAAUUGAGAAGAAAAGUAGGAAGCAAUAAAAUUUGUUCUAUUGGUAUUUUAGUGAACCUCAUUCUCUGGUAUGUAUCAACAUCACAGGAAUUGAGAUGCCCUUUUUAAAAAACAAUUUUAUUUAGUCUUUUAUUCUUUCAUUGCUCAAGUCUAGCACAUCAGUCUUGGGCUACGUCCACACAUACACGGGUAUUUUUGAAAACGGAGAUUUUCCAUUUUCGUUUUAAAAAAUAAUCCCGUCCACACGUAAACGUAGAAAUGAAGGAAAACACUGCUAGCAACAUGCCAAAACAACAGGUGCCGAUAUAUUCCUAACCGUGUAGAAAUGUUGGCCAAUCAGAAGUCUAGAAGCCUCGGUGGGAAAUAGUAAACAAAGAUGGGGCAUAGAAGCAGAACCGAGUCGUAUGUGUGGAGGGACAGUAACUGUGUGUGUAUAUGUAAGCAUUUAAACACUGCAGAGAGGACAAUUAACAGUAACAGUAUUGUAGAAAUUCAUUUCACCGAAACAAUAACGUGGCGCACAGUGUGACGUCAAAAAAGGCGCAUACCUUUGACGCUGCGUUUUCUCCGUUUUCCUCGUCCACACGUAUAUGCAAAAACGGAGUGAGAGGUAAGUGACGGCGGUAAGGUAAGGACCCAUGUUGUAGGUGACGUCAGACGCCGGAGAUUUGGCGGAAAAAAACAAAACAAACGAAUGGUAGCCUAGAAUUUAACAAAGUUUCUUUAAUCUUCAGUAUUGUCAAAUAAACUAACCAACUGUCAUAUAACUAACAACAUCUGUCCUAUCAUCUCUAACACCCUGGAGAACAACGAGGAGAGUUUAGACGCUCUCCAAGAAUACAUCGACCGGUGCUUCGAAGAUUUAGUAAUGAAGAAGGCCCAGAGCAUGUCUUCCCCGGCCAAAACUGAGACGCCAUCAUCUAAAAGAUAUCGCCCCGCAGACUCCCCCGGCACAACAUCGCCUGCCGGCAAAGAUAUCGUCGACAUCCUGGAGUCAAUCGAUAAGCGAUUGUCCAGUUUUGAUGCGAGGCUGUCCCUGGUGGAGAUCUUACACCGGGAAUUUCAAUCUCUAAAAGAAUCCCUGGAGUUCAGCCAGAAGCAGGUGGAAACACUUGCUGCAGAAAACGCCACGCUACGGGACUCGAGUCUGCCGGAGAGGACCCGGAAACGACCGUGAGAAGCUUCAUUAAAAUCCACCUGAAGCUGCCGGAGGACACGGUGAAAAACAGGGUUUGAAAGAGUGCAUCGCAUCGGGGCUCCGAAGACAGGAAGCGGGAGACCGCGUCCUAUUGUGGCCAAAUUCGGCCACUUUAAGCAGAAGGAGCAGGUGAAGAGUCGCGGCAGAGAGCUGAAAGGAACGGACUUCAGCGUGAACGACCAGUUCCCCAGAGAGAUCCUGGAACGACGCAGGGUCCUGUUCCCAGUCCGACGUAGUUUUAUUCAGAAAGGCUCCGGGCUGUCAUCGCCAUGGACCGGCUCUACGUGGACGGACAGCUCUACCGCGACCCCGCAUCACUCCAUGGCUGUAUUGACCGCACACCAGAUAAGAAUCCGCUGCGCUAUUCUCUUCACUCACACUCUCUUGUAUUAACUUUUGCUUAACUAUGUAAUAUCAGUUUGCUAAUUUAGUAUAACGUCACCGUCACUCUCCGCCAAUGCUUUAAUUGGAAUGUUUCCGUUCUUAUUUCUUUUUCC
ensembl:lncRNA